rnacentral:sRNA from 1 species
CAGGUGGCAGCCAAGAGCCUCCUGGCACAGCGGCACCAGGCAGGUGGCGCCUAUUGGACCCCAGAGGACACUGUACCGAGAGGUGACACUGGAGACCUGGGAGCAUAUUGUCUCCCUGGCUGGAGCAAGAAGAGGACCUGUGCAGGGCAGAGCAGGAGGCCCCCCGAGACUGGAAAGCUACCCUUGAGGAGAAUAGGUUGAAUUCUGAAAAAGAUUGAGCUAGGGAAGAACUAUCCCACCACGUGGAAGUGUACAGGAGUGUACAGGAGGAGCUACCCUCUUUGGUAUUAGGAAAAGUGCAAGAUCAGAGCAACCAGUUAAGGGAACACCAGGAGAACUCCUUGAGGUUCAUGGUACUCACCUCAGAGAGACUGUUUGCUGAAAGGGAACAUUGUGAGCUUGAACUUGGGGGAGGUUAUUCUCUACCUUCUACUUUAAGCCUAUUACCUACAAGUACAGGUUUCCCUAAGCCCAACUCACAAGUUAAAGAGUUGAAACAAAAUUCAGCUUUCAUUAAUCAUGAGAAAAAUGGAGCAGAUGGGAAGCACUGUGAGAGUC